rnacentral:lncRNA from 1 species
UAAAGUCUAACAAACAGCACAGAAAUAAGGUAAAUAAAAUGUUGACUCUAUGUCACCAUGACUUUUUCUGUCAUUUCUGUUAUUCUUGUUUCCAUUGCUGAAAUGUGAAGGAGAUGUUCUUAUGGUAAACACCGAUAGUUUUUCAUCAAUUCUGUGAUGCAAGACAACUAGGACUUAUGUAUGCCUGCUGGAAGAUAUUAUAAAGAGAAAGAUUGAAAAAAAAAAAAAACCAAAAAACGUAUAGCCAUGAAAUAAAAUGAAGGCUACAGUCUAUACUAGAUAUUACUAGAAUAUAACUUUCCUUUUAUGUAGACGUGUGCAAAUUUGAAUCAUGUAAGUAAGGUUUAAGUCAUGUAAUUAAUUGCAACUGUUGUGGUGACAGUCUUAAAUUAAUUAAUUAAUUAAUUUAUUUAUUUAUUUAUUACAGCUGUAGAACUAUUUGGCUUGGGUCAAUAAGAAUAAAUCAACAGAAUUCCUGUAUACUUUCAUGAAAAUAUAACCACACUGCACACACUACUGAGAGUUCCCCCUUUGCCUUUUACCAUAUUACUUUUGUGUUUGCUUUGCUUAGAUAAUAUACAAAAUUUAGAGAUACUAUGAAGAAGGUUGCAUGGAGUCACUUGCCUUCUAACACCUGCUAACUGAAUACUUCAGAUUGUAUGGUCUCUUAUGGGAGUUCACCAUGCUCUGAUGGUCUCUUCUUGAAAUGGGUUCAGCGUAGACUUAGGUGGAAGUUUGAUUGCUAUCUCUGCUGUGUCUACAGAUUCAGCAAAUUAUUGAAUUUCUUUCAAAAUUAAAGUACUGGUGUUUUCGUGUGCUGUAAUUUCUAAACCUUGGAAGAAAAGAAAACCAGACGUUCUCCUCAGUUGAAGACCUUGUUAACAGGUAUCCCACAGAUUCUAUUUAGUCCAUUUAAUGGCUCUACUGCAAGAAUAAUUUGUUGAUUACCAGGGGUUGGCAAUACAUGCUGUAUCUGAUAAUGUGAUGAAUAUUGCAUUCUAAAGGCUUGAUACAUCAUUGUGUUGUUCUGCUACCAUCUGGAUGUCUUGCUUCUGUGAAACCUGCAGAUAGAAAGCCAUGUUUUAAAAGUUCUCAAACUUACUAUAUUUAUCUGUCAUGUCCCAGUGAAAAGCUCUGUAAAGCAGAACUUUGUUAUAGUUUGAGAUUUCUAUGCACCUGUUUUUACGUAUUUAUAACUUCAGUUAGUCUGAUUAAAGCUUUUUUUUAAUAUAAUUUUAAAAUGUUUUAAUAUGUUGGAUAGAUAAAUGCAUAAAGAUAGGAAGUUGUUCACAAUCUCCUUGUUUCCUAACUUUCUAAUCUAUAGGACUCCUAGCAGCUUGUUCAUUGUUUUAUACAACAGAUAUUUCUGUAUGUGACAAACUAGAGAAUAGAUGGAAUAUAUGAAUAAAUAGCUUUUAGAAAACA